UCUACCAUAGGCUUCUAUUUUAACAGGUCUCCAGAUCUACACAUCAUCUACCAUAGGCUUCUAUUUUAACAGGUCUUCAGAUCUACACAUCAUCUACCAUAGGCUUCCAUUUUAACAGGUCUUCAGAUCUACACAUCAUCUACCAUAGGCUUCUAUUUUAACAGGUCUUCAGAUCUACACAUCAUCUACCAUAGGCUUCUAUUUUAACAGGUCUUCAGAUCUACACAUCAUCUACCAUAGGCUUCUAUUUUAACAGGUCUUCAGAUCUACACAUCAUCUACCAUAGGCUUCUAUUUUAACAGGUCUUCAGAUCUACACAUCAUCUACCAUAGGCUUCUAUUUUAACAGGUCUUCAGAUCUACACAUCAUCUACCAUAGGCUUCUAUUUUAACAGGUCUUCAGAUCUACACAUCAUCUACCAUAGGCUUCUAUUUUAACAGGUCUUCAGAUCUACACAUCAUCUACCAUAGGCUUCUAUUUUAACAGGUCUUCAGAUCUACACAUCAUCUACCAUAGGCUUCUAUUUUAACAGGUCUGUAGAUCUACACAUCAUCUACCAUAGGCUUCCAUUUUAACAGGUCUUCAGAUCUACACAUCAUCUACCAUAGGCUUCUAUUUUAACAGGUCUGUAGAUCUACACAUCAUCUACCAUAGGCUUCCAUUUUAACAGGUCUUCAGAUCUACA